rnacentral:rRNA from 1 species
GACGAACGCUGGCGGCGUGCUUAACACAUGCAAGUCGAACGGAAAGGCCCUGCUUUUGUGGGGUGCUCGAGUGGCGAACGGGUGAGUAACACGUGAGUAACCUGCCCUUGACUUUGGGAUAACUUCAGGAAACUGGGGCUAAUACCGGAUAGGAGCUCCUGCUGCAUGGUGGGGGUUGGAAAGUUUCGGCGGUUGGGGAUGGACUCGCGGCUUAUCAGCUUGUUGGUGGGGUAGUGGCUUACCAAGGCUUUGACGGGUAGCCGGCCUGAGAGGGUGACCGGCCACAUUGGGACUGAGAUACGGCCCAGGCUCCUACGGGAGGCAGCAGUGGGGAAUAUUGCACAAUGGGCGGAAGCCUGAUGCAGCAACGCCGCGUGCGGGAUGACGGCCUUCGGGUUGUAAACCGCUUUCGCCUGUGACGAAGCGUGAGUGACGGUAAUGGGUAAAGAAGCACCGGCUAACUACGUGCCAGCAGCCGCGGUGAUACGUAGGGUGCGAGCGUUGUCCGGAUUUAUUGGGCGUAAAGGGCUCGUAGGUGGUUGAUCGCGUCGGAAGUGUAAUCUUGGGGCUUAACCCUGAGCGUGCUUUCGAUACGGGUUGACUUGAGGAAGGUAGGGGAGAAUGGAAUUCCUGGUGGAGCGGUGGAAUGCGCAGAUAUCAGGAGGAACACCAGUGGCGAAGGCGGUUCUCUGGGCCUUUCCUGACGCUGAGGAGCGAAAGCGUGGGGAGCGAACAGGCUUAGAUACCCUGGUAGUCCACGCUGUAAACGGUGGGUACUAGGUGUGGGGUCCAUUCCACGGGUUCCGUGCCGUAGCUAACGCUUUAAGUACCCCGCCUGGGGAGUACGGCCGCAAGGCUAAAACUCAAAGGAAUUGACGGGGCCCCGCACAAGCGGCGGAGCAUGCGGAUUAAUUCGAUGCAACGCGUAGAACCUUACCUGGGUUUGACAUGGAUCGGGAGUGCUCAGAGAUGGGUGUGCCUCUUUUGGGGUCGGUUCACAGGUGGUGCAUGGCUGUCGUCAGCUCGUGUCGUGAGAUGUUGGGUUAAGUCCCGCAACGAGCGCAACCCUUGUUCACUGUUGCCAGCACGUUAUGGUGGGGACUCAGUGGAGACCGCCGGGGUCAACUCGGAGGAAGGUGGGGAUGACGUCAAGUCAUCAUGCCCCUUAUGUCCAGGGCUUCACGCAUGCUACAAUGGCUGGUACAGAGAGUGGCGAGCCUGUGAGGGUGAGCGAAUCUCGGAAAGCCGGUCUCAGUCCGGAUUGGGGUCUGCAACUCGACCUCAUGAAGUCGGAGUCGCUAGUAAUCGCAGAUCAGCAACGCUGCGGUGAAUACGUUCCCGGGGCU